rnacentral:rRNA from 1 species
UACGGAGGGGGCGAGCGUUAUUCGGAAUCAUUGGGCGUAAAGGGCGCGUAGGCGGCCCCGUAAGUCUUGGGUGAAAGCCCUCGGCUCAACCGGGGAGGGCGGCUGCAAACUGGGCGUCUUGAGGGGGAUAGAGGAAGGUGGAAUUCCUGGUGUAGCGGUGAAAUGCGUAGAGAUCAGGAGGAACACCCGUGGCGAAGGCGGCCUUCUGGGUCCGCCCUGACGCUGAGGCGCGAAAGCGUGGGGAGCGAACGGG